ACAGCAGCCGCCGCGGUAAUACGGAGGAUCCAAGCGUUAUCCGGAAUAAUUGGGUUUAAAGGGUCCGUAGGCGGUCUUGUAAGUCAGUGGUGAAAGCCCAUCGCUCAACGGUGGAACGGCCAUUGAUACUGCAGGACUUGAAUUAUUGGGAAGUAACUAGAAUAUGUAGUGUAGCGGUGAAAUGCUUAGAGAUUACAUGGAAUACCAAUUGCGAAGGCAGGUUACUACCAAUUGAUUGACGCUGAGGUACGAAAGCAUGGGGAGCAAACAGGAUUAGAUACCCCGGUAGUCCCUGUCUCUUAUAU
rnacentral:rRNA from 1 species